rnacentral:lncRNA from 1 species
AUGGUUACUUUGGUCCACCAUUAAAGGCACUUGAGUAUAUAUGGCCACGCCACUAUUAAAGCUAAAUGAUGACCAUUAUUAAAGUAAACUAUAUUUUUCUUAAUAAUUGAUACAUGGCCCAUAUACAUUAUGGAUUCAGAUUUUACAUGAUCAACAUGUAAAUUUUAAGUUAAGAUUCAUCAUAUUGCUAAAGGAACUAAAGUAUUUAGCAUCUAAUAUUUUAAAUUAGUCAAUUGAAGCAUUAUGUUGCCAAAGUAACCUCUAUUGUGUAGAUUGAUUGAUCUUGAAAN